rnacentral:rRNA from 1 species
GGAAUAUUGCACAAUGGACGCAAGUCUGAUGCAGCAACGCCGCGUGGAGGAUGACGGUCUUUGGAUUGUAAACUCCUUUUCUCAGGGAAGAGCAUGGACGGUACCUGAGGAAUAAGUCACGGCUAACUACGUGCCAGCAGCCGCGGUAAUACGUAGGUGGCAAGCGUUAUCCGGAAUUACUGGGCGUAAAGCGCACGCAGGCGGUCUCUUAAGUUUGACGUGAAAGCUCCCGGCUUAACUGGGAGAGGUCGUUGGAUACUGGGAGACUUGAGGCAAUGAGAGGGGUGCAGAAUUCCAGGUGUAGUGGUGGAAUGCGUAGAUAUCUGGAGGAAUACCAGUGGCGAAAGCGGCACCCUAGCGUUGUACUGACGCUCAUGUGCGAAAGCGUGGGGAGCGAA